UACAGAGGUCUCGAGCGUUAGGCGGAAUCACUGGGCUUAAAGCGUGUGUAGGCGGGUCGUUAAGUGCCUUGUGAAAUCCCAUGGCUCAACCAUGGAACUGCUGGGCAUACUGGCGAUCUUGUGCCACCUAGGGGCGAGCGGAACAGAUGGUGGAGCGGUGAAAUGCGUAGAGAUCAGGAGGAAUACCAAUGGCGAAGGCAGUGCUCUGGGCUAACACUGACGCUGAGGUGCGAAAGCGUGGGUAGCGAACGGG
rnacentral:rRNA from 1 species